AACGUGGCUUUGCUUAAUGAGACUCGUCAGCAGCUUGUAAUCAAUGAAAAGUUAACAGCACUCGGUGAAUUGACCGCGGGUAUCGCUCAUG
rnacentral:tRNA from 1 species